ACUAGAUUGUCCUUAUAUUUUAUCAACCGCAGUGGCAUUUAAGCCAUUCAUUUGUUUGCAGUCUGGAUCAGGUAUUCUGUAAAGAAAGUGUCAUGGAAAAAUAGAGCUUAAAAAAUGUUGACUUGGUACAAAACAUUCAACUUACAGAUGCUAAAACUAGGACUGUCUGUCUAUCUGUCUGUCUGUCAUCUCUCUCUCUCUCUCCUCAGGUGAAAGCCAGUCUAUGGCAGAAUCAGGACUAUAUAUUUAUUUGUUCUUUAUGCAUCUUCACCUCUCUCGCUUUUCUGCAUCCCUGCUUUCCCCCCACCUCCUCUGCUCCCUUCCUUCCUGAUGUCAUCCACCAAUCAUGAGAUAAACAUUCUAUUUUCAGUACACUCUUUGCCCCAGAGGGCACUAUGCUCUAGCUUAAAAGGACAAAAUAAACAGGUAAAUCACAAAAUAACAUGGUGAGCGCUACAAUAAAACUAUGAAGGAAAGCUUGAGCACAGUUGACUAGAUUACAGUAAGAUAAGCACUUGUCUUUCCUGAGUCAUGGUAUAGUAGUUAAGCACUGGAACUGUGCCAUCAAAUUUACUUUCAAGUCUUCUCAACGACGGAUUAGCUGUGUGACUUUUAAUGACUUCCUUAAUGUGAAUUGCUUCAUAAUUCUUGGAGAAGGGAGCUGCAAUCAGACAAGCACUACCUCUCCUUCCUACUUAUGAAUCCAUGGGAAUGUCUCUCUGCCUAAAGGAAAAGCCCGUUUUCCUAUAUUCAUAGCACCCUGAUACCACAUUGGAUGGAUUUUUUUUCCCACACCAACUGAUUCAUCCACUCUCUGGGCACCAAUUGGGUGUCCUCCAAGUCAAUGAUGACACUAAUAAGCUUGAGUUAGGGCAGAUCCUACAGGUUAAGGGCUCAAUGCCGCAAGACUGGUCACCACUUCAGAUGCCGAUUGUACCUGUACUUCUGACCAACUGGAUAUAAGUCAUGGGUUCCCAGAAUCCCUCCCUCAGGCUUCAUAAUUUGCUAUAAUGGCACACAGAACUCAGGGAAGCACUUCCUUAGACUUAACUGUUUGAUGAGAAAGGACAUGAAAAAGGAUACAGAUGAACAGCCAGAUGAAGUGGCACCUAAGGCAAGGCUGGGGAGGGUCCUGAGUGAGAGCUUCUGUCCUGUGCAGUUGACGUGCUCCACCCUCCUGGCACAUGGGUGUGUCCAUCAGCCAAAGUUCUCUGAACCUCCUGGUUGAGGGAUGUUUAUGGAAGAUCUGUCAUGUGGGCACGAUUGCUCAUUAGCUCAGUCUCCAGCCCCUCUUCCCUCCCGGGAGAUGGGGAAUGGAGCUGCAGAGUCCGCGUUUCUCUUCAUGCUUGGUCUUUCCAGGGACCAGCCCCCACUCAGGGGCCCAUCUAAAGUUGCCUUCUUAGAACAAAAGAUGGUCCUGUCACCCAGGAAAUUCCAGUGGAUUUUGGAGCUCUGUACAUAAUGCUCCAAUCAUCUCCAUCACUCAGGAAAUUAGAAGUGUUUUAGGAGUUCUGGGUCAGAAGCCAGAGUCAAAGACCAACUAUGAGAACCAAAGAUGCACCUGGCACUCCUAUCACUCAAAAAAUUGCAAGGGUUUUUGGACCUCUGUGUCUGGAAUCAGUGACAGGGUAGAAAUACAUAUUUCUUAUGUCACAGUCCACUCUCUGGUCUCAGGCCAUGGACUCCCUACAGCAAGAAUGAUCUCAUCUUCCAGGGCAUUUACAUUUGGUGUAGUACUUGUAGAUCAUAUACAGCAAUAGUAUCAACAUGGAUAAGCCUAACAUUUGGAGAAGCCAGGGUACAAUAGGGAUAGAUUUACAGAAACAACAAAUUUGUCUUAUAAAAGCAUUACAUACAUUUGUUCAUCCUUGAACAGUUUGAUUAUUCCACCACUGCUUGAUUGACUGAUAAGCUUGUGCAGAACUAUUCAGCACAGCAGUCAGCCGAUGAACAGCUAGGUCCAGUUCUUUCUCAGGCCUGUCACUCUCCAUAGGUACUCUAUCCCAAGGAACUUUUGACUCGUUCUUCCAGUGCAUUUGACCACUAACAAGAGUAUUAUCAUAAGAUGUAUUUACAUGAGGUAUUUGCGUUUUACCAACACCACCAGUAUUACACCAUAACAGCAUGAUCGUGGCAUCAUUCAGUUUCAGUACAGAACAAAUCAGUCAGGAUGACAGAGGUAUUUGCUUUGCCUUCCCAACAGGAUCUGCCUUUGCCCUUACACAAGACAGUAACGAGGACAGGCACCAUUAUAACUGGCCAUGAUUCAUUGGUAUCUGGGUUCCAUGAUAACUUGGGACAAAUCCAGUCACCUCACCUCAUCUCACAGACUUGCACUGAAAUUGAUUUCCAUUUUGUGUUGUUACGUAGCAGGGCCCCCCUGUGUUUAGAAUAGUUUUCAUCCCUACUAACUGUGUAUCCCAGGAUUUGUUGGACUUUGACUUGUUUUGGGUACAUAUCGAUGUAAUUUCCCAGAGAAUAUUCAUCAGCUCAGAGGGCCAUGAUUCCCACAGGUGUGUCCCUUGAGCCUCAGUGGCUAGGAUGGAGGGCCAUUACCCCAUGGCCACUUCAGCUUACAUGUGCAGCAUAACAGUCAAGAGAUCUUGUUGGGUCAGGGCACAAGCCUUUUCAGAUGCUGAAUUCUAACGUUAUGCAGCAUUGUUUGUUGAUUGAUAGUAUCCAUGUUUAUAUCCUUUAGACCCACCCACAUCUCUCUCCUGCCAUUGUUCGUUUCUCUGUUUCUUCUCACAGCAAUCUUCCUAAAAAUUUGCUUAAAAUAUAUAUUUAUAGCCUUCAUUUCAUUCCACCUUUUUUUUUUUUUUGGCUGCACCCAUGGUAGAUGGAUGUUCCCAAGCCCAGGGUAAAACCUGUGCCAUAGCAGUGAAAAUGCUGGGUCCUUAACCCACUGCACUACAAGGGAACUCCCAUAGUCUUCAUUUCUUCAUCUCAUAUUUUUUCUUAACUCUUAGUAUACCAGGCAAUACAGUCAUCACUGUUUAUCAUUAGGGUCUAUUGGAUUGUCAUCUAUCUAAAAUACUUAUUAGUUAUUUUUAUUAAUAAUUAAAAAAUAAAAGGAUAAUGAAAAUUACUAUUCAAAAUUGUUAUAAGCAUUAAUCAUAGAAAAUCUCUCUAUAUCAGAUAAUUUUUGAUACAUGCACCUCAUUCAAGACUAAAGAAUGUCAGAUGUGGAGUUCCCAUCGUGGCGCAGUGGUUAACGAAUCCGACUAGGAACCAUGAGGUUGCGGGUUCGAUCCCUGCCCUUGCUCGGUGGGUUAACGAUCUGGCGUUGCCUUGAGCUGUGGUGUAGGUUGCAGACGCGGCUCGGAUCUUGUGUUGCUGUGGCUCUGGCGUAGGCCUGCGGCUACAGUUCCAAUUUGACCCCUAGCCUGGGAACCUCCAUAUGCCGCUGGAGCGGCCCAAGAAAUAGCAAAAAAAAAAAAACAAAAACAAAAAAAAUAAAGAAUGUCAGAUGUCAUAUAUGCUUUUUCAGCAAAGAGGGAGAGUCAAGGUUUUUGUUGUAAAAAAGGUGUGUGAUGAAGUUCUUCCUAUUAAAUGACAAGAGACUAAUUGGGUGAGAAUACUACAUUUCUUUUUUAUCCUUAGAUGUAUAUUGUUGACCCAUUGAUUCUUGAGUUUGAGAAAAUUAUUUAUAUCAUCAUCUAAAGUUUCGUAUAUGAUAUUUCACUUAUAUGAUCGAUAUCAUCAUCAUUAGAGCCCAGAGUGCUAUCUCUUUGUAUUCAUCUUUCUAAUAAUUGUGAAAUGUAUAUUUUCUUUGCCAUUAUUGGCAGAGGAGAAAAACUGAAUUCUCAACUGUGCAUAAAGAGAAGUUAAAACAGACUACAAGAUAACUUUUCCAUAAUUCUAAAAACCUUUUUGAAAGAUGAUGUAAUCCUUUAGGUCACAGAAUAAGAAAAUUGAAGGGUGAUGAUUUAUUUCACUAUUGCACUAUCCUUUUAGGUGAGUUUAAUAUUCUCCCAUCUUUCUAUUUUAUUCUUUUUUUCUUAGCGUACAUGAGAAUAAUUGAUGAAUAGUGAAUAAAUAAAUUCUGGGAUUAUGAAAUAAAUGAUCCUAGAUAUAAGAAACAAGAUCACGGAGAUCCCAUCAUAUACCAUAGAUUUAGAAAAGGGUCUGAUGGAUUCAAUGUGGUAAUUAAAAUACAGUGGUUUUUUUCCAUUAGACAUGAACUUUUUUAUCUGGAAGAACUUUAGGAAAAACUAAAAGUAAUAAAAUGUCAAUCUUCACAAACAGAACUGUUCAAAAGAGAAACUUAAAAGUGAAAAUUGGAUCCAGUGGACUCUGGGUAUUGAUUAGCCCGCUCUUAUUGAGCUUUCUAUCUGCCACAAAUACAAUAAAAUCACCUUUUUAAGGUCAUUAAUAACUUAAGUCUUGACAAAACAUGUAGUCAAUUUUGAGUUUUCACUGUAAUGAGUGUGUUCAAGGUCCUACAUAGCAGAUUGCACCUUCACUCUGGAGACUCUGUCUGAAUGACUUCUGCAACAUCACACUCACCUAGUAGUUUUCUUCCUACCUCACCUGCUGCUGCUUGUUCAUCUGCUCUUACUCACCCAGUCUGAACACCUAUAGCCUCUGUCCCCAGGGUUUCUCUCGUUGGCCCUCUUUCUGUAGAUUAUCUCACCCAAUCCCCCUAGGUUAGUGAGUCUUUAUUUGGCUCACGAUGAACUGUUGUGCGCCCAGCCUCCACACUGACAUUCUCCAUCACCAUGUCUGCCCUAGCUCAGCAAAUAGCACCAUCAUUCACCUGUUGCUUGGAACAAACACUUAUAGAUCAUCCUUGAUUAUUCAAUGGUAAGCUCAGGUGCCACAAUCUUCCGAAUAUAUUUAAGAUAGAACUUUUACCAUCCCCUGUGAAAUAACUCUAGGCCACCCUUGUCAGUCUCUUGGACUACUCAACCUGUCUUGUAAAUACUCUCCAAUCUUGCUCUCCUCCAACUUCAUUUCCAACCGGCAGCUAGAGGGAGUUUUCUAAAGACACUCUUACAUUGUAUUACUCUCCUGCUUCAAACCAUUUAAGGGUUUCCCCUUCCAAACUUUAGAUGAUCUAGUUCUUAUCUAUACCUUUUUCUUUUUGCUCAUCCAAUUAGUCUAUUCUCCAGGCACAUUGGCCUUCAUUCCGUUUUGCAGACACUCAAGAGAAAACUUUAAUUGUCUUCUUCCCACAUGAAGGAAGGAUUCCACAAGGACCCUGAGUUGUGACCUUCCAUUUUGCCAAAAUGAUGAAAGCUUCAUACUGUAGACCUGUAGUCAAACUUUCCUUGAACCCCGCUGAUAUGUAGUACUAUUCCUCCUCCUUUGGGGGAAAAUGGAGUUUGGAAGGGGUGUGGCCAGUUUUGAGUUAUGUGCUUUCUAUGUUGGAAAUUAAAACACAUCAUGAUGCAUAUAGAGUCAGAAGUAAAUAGAAGGCAGAUGUCAUUUAUUGUUGGUUAUGAGAACCAGGGGUCUGCUUUUUCAGGAAGACUUAUCAGCAGGGAAAAAAACCCUUAUUUUACAUAUAUAUAUAUUUUUUUUUUCCAAAAGUUUUUGACCAUGACAGGAGUUCCCUUUGUGGCUCAGUGGUUAAUGAACCCAACUAGGAUACACAAAGAUGUGAGUUUGAUCCCUAGCCUCGCUCAGUGGGUCAGUGAUCUGGCGUUGGUAUGAGCUAUGGUAUAGGUUGCAGAUGCAGCUUGGAUCCCACGGUGCUGGCUGUGGUGUAGGCUGGCGGCUACAGCUCUGAUUUGACCUCUAACCUGGGAAACUCCAUAUGCCGUGAGUGUGGCCCUAAAAUAG
rnacentral:lncRNA from 1 species